CCCAUCCCCAGCCCCGGGUCCGCAAAGGUUAGGGAGCGCAACAGAAGACCAAACGGGCUAACGGCAAGAUGGAGCAGGAGAGAACCCACUUACCCGGCAGGCGUGAGAAGAGUCAAGGUGUUUCUAAGCACACAGCUGAAAAUGGAGAACACGCUGGGGCUCCUGAGCAGGGGUUGGGGGCCAGAAACGAAGAGAGGCACUGACCAGCACUGUGUUCACAGUGGGGGAUGAAAUUUCAGAGAGAUCAUCUGGGCCCAAACCCACAGAUGAAAAAAAACUGAAGACCAGAGAGGCUGUAUAACUUGCCUAAGGUCAUAAAACUACUUAAUGAUGAAAAUUUAAAACCAAGUCUGUCUGACUCUAUAGCCGUGGUUCUCACUGUCUGGUCCCUAGACCAGCCAUAUCAGCACCUCCUGGGAACUCAUCAGAGACCUAAUGAGUCAGACAUCUGGGGGGCCCGGUGGAGCCAUCUGUGUCCUGGCAAGCCUGAAGGCGAUUCUACUGGACACUUCCGACCAAUAACUACAGUUCCAGCACGUUCACUUCAUCUCCACGCCAUGCUGCAUCUCCAACUUCCUGUUCUCCAAAUGCAAAACUCACCAUGGGGGAAGCAUCCAGAAACAGAGUUGGUUUUCACUUCUCCCUGCAGAUGCUCCCAGGGAGUUAAAGGUGACUCUUCACUCCAGACUCUAAAUUUGACCCCCUUUCAGGCGGCCACCCCAGGUUCAUUAUCACACCAAUCAGCCAACUGUUUUGAGUAGAAAUUCCUUUCCCACCCUGUAAGGAAUUCCAGGACACUGUCUAUGAAGAGGGAAAUCAUGGCUUGGCUAUUUGUUCAGGACACCCCUACCCUCUUCCAGACCAACAGCUCAUUGAGACACCACUUGAGAUACCACUUGACUACUGCCACCAGUCGACAUUUAUUGAUCGAGUACUGUGUCAGGUCCUCUGCUAGGCCCUUUCAGACACACUAUCUCAAUUAAUCCUUACAACAACCCAAGAGGUAGACACGAUUAUCAGCUCAUUUCAAAAAGGAGAAAACUGAGGCACAGAAUAAACAAUUUGCCUAACUUCAUCAGCUAAUUAAUUGCUGAGAUGAGACUUAAAUUCAGUUUGUCUCAAGAACCCCAUGGUCUUAUCCACUACGCCUUAUUGCCUGGUACGGGCCUUUGUCGAACAAGUCUUCUCUCGUGGUACACUCCAGGCCAACUCUCUGUGUUCCAGCUUGAGAGUCCUCUUUGCAGCCAUGUGAAUCCAGUGUCUUCCUCUCCCUAAUCCUCUAGGGCACCUCUGCCCAGCUUUCUUCCACCUCCACCACCCCCACCCACUCCCCUUCCCCCCCCACCACACACCUGGCCAUUUCUCUCUGGAGCUGUUUCCUACUAGCUGGGCUGUCACCUCCCAGACACUUUUCCUUCCUUCAGACCAGCUUUGUCUCCUCUAUGUGCUGUUCAGCAUGGAAUAAAUUCUAUCUUUUUCCAA